rnacentral:rRNA from 1 species
UACGUAGGGUGCGAGCGUUAAUCGGAAUUACUGGGCGUAAAGUGUGCGCAGGCGGCUGAGCAAGUCGAGUGUGAAAGCCCCGGGCUUAACUUGGGAAUUGCGCUCGAAACUACUUGGCUGGAGUGUGGCAGAGGAGGGUGGAAUUCCACGUGUAGCGGUGAAAUGCGCAGAUAUCAGGAGGAACACCGGUGGCGAAGGCGGGUCUCUGGGCCGAUACUGACGCUGAGGAGCGAAAGCGUGGGGAGCGAACAGG